AUGCAGCUGGAGGAGGAGCAGAAACUGCAUCUAGAGCACACGCUGGCCUGGCUGAGGAGAGAACUGUCAGAGAUGCAGCUCCAGGAUCAGCAGCUGCUGGAGAAGCUGUUACAGCUGCACACCAGCAUGCAGGAGCUGAAAGUGGAAUGCGCUUACUGGGAGAGUUCAGAUCCGAGCAGGGAGACGAUCCGCGCCAGAGCUCGGUCCAGUUCAGAAGACAUGGGUGCUCCAGUUCCCACCGGAGGCUCGACUCCAUCCCUGAAAGGAGAGACAAGCAGGAGGAACUCCAUCCCAUAAGGCAGCUCAAGCUAUUUGGGGAACAGAAUUGAUGGGCUGAGCUGGUCACUGCCACGCAGAGAUUCUCUCCAUGAACUGAAUCAAGGGUCUGAAACACUCUCCAUCGAUCGGUGUUACUGCCACGUCAGUAUUGGUGUCUUCAGCCUAGCUGAUCACGAUGGUCCUGGCCCACAGGCCUCCUUCAGUGGACACCAGGGAAUGUUUUCUACUCAAACGCCCUUUCUGGGAAACAUCUCAACAUGCACAAUAAAAGACUGCCCCAGGCGUGCGUGUUUCA
rnacentral:lncRNA from 1 species